CAGAUCAGAUUUGGAGGAGCACCUUAAACAUGUUGAUGAUGUCAGUGUGUAUCUAGGAGCAGCUCCUAUUGUUGAAUGCCUUCAGAAUUUCAGACCGAAUGUAAUUAUUACUUCUCGAGUUGCUGAUGCUUCCUUAUUCUUAGCCCCAAUGGUGUAUGAGCUCGGUUGGAACUGGGAUGACUUGCACCUGCUUGCCCAAGGUUCACUGGCUGGCCACCUGCUAGAAUGUGGUUGCCAACUUACUGGAGGAUACUAUAUGCAUCCAGGUGAACCUUUCGUUCGUAUUGCGAUAUUUCAGGAAUGUGCACCUUUCUUUCGUAGGGAGUAUGAUGUCUGUAUAUUAUGGUGGAGUCUUGAGGUUGGAGG
rnacentral:misc_RNA from 1 species